rnacentral:lncRNA from 1 species
ACGUAGCAGGCCCCUGUGGAGGAUUAACACAGUGGCUGAACACCGGGAAGGAACUGGCACUUGGAGUCCGGACAUCUGAAACUUGAAUUGACAAGCCGACAUCAGUCUCCAGAGUGAAUCCAAGGAGUGGACCCAAGACAUUUGUGUUCUGUGAUGUGGUGGCAUGUUACCUGUCAUCUCCGAUGCAUAACUCCUAAAGUGCGUCUGGGGCAGUUGUACAGAUUGCAGAGGAUAAUACUCAAGAUGUUCUCCAAGGCCAACUAGUCAUCAGUUUAUUCAUGUUUCUGGGAUUGGAUUCAUGAACUCAUCCUUUGAACUAUUUCAACAAGCUUUUUCAUGUAACUAAUCUGCGGAAGGUAGAAAGGGGAAAACUGUUGGGUGCUAAAAUGACAACUGGUUCAAGGGAAACAAACAAGGAGGAGCACGCCUGGGGAGGUUUUCACAGGCCAGGACUGGAAAUGCACAUUUCUCUUUUCCUCACAUUCCAAGCUCCCAAGAUGGUGGUGGGCCACUUCCAAGAUGGUGGCAAGAGUCGUAUUCUCUGACCUGGGGUUCUUGGUCUCAUGGAUUCCAAGGAAUGGAAUCUUGCGCCAUGUGGAGAAGCGUCAGAUAAUUAGGCAGCAGUCCAACAAUUAGGUUUUGUGGAACUUUUACUAUGUCAUCUAUUUAUUGGAAUUCCCCCUGGAUACCAGGACCCCCUCCAGCAGAGCUUAAAGUUAUAGUUACAGGAAGUACAAAUUCCUUAUGUGGAUCCCUGGAAGUGUGAUGAGAAGAACCACUGUUUCCAAGAUCUAUUUAUUCUAUUUAUCAGGCCUAUAAAAUCAUGUAAUGGCCAUGGCUUCAACUAGACUCC